rnacentral:piRNA from 2 species
UCUGAGACGAGUCAAGGUAACAGAGGCAGC